UGGGUAAGUCACCUAAGCUUCUCAAUCCUCAGUGUCCUGACCUACUUCACCUAGGUGUGAGGAGUGCAUGAGUUAGUACAUGUAGAGUGCUGCAAACAGUGCCUGGGGGAGACUGAGAGCUCAGUGUGUGUUCUCUGCUCUACGAUAUUAAAGUGCCAGGCCAGGUGCAGUGACUCACAUCUGUAAUCCCUUUGCACUUUGGGAGACUGGUGGGGGCAGUACAACUGCAGGUGGACCAAAUGCCAUGCGACUGGCAAGGUGUUCUCACUCCGAGCCUCAGUUUCCUCAAAGUAAAACAAUGGGAUUACAUUAGCUUGAUGAUGUUCAAAGAUCAUUAGCAUUGGGACCCUUUUGCAAAUGAAAUCUUAUAUGGCAAAAAGCAGACGUGGGAUGGAUAGACUUCUGAGUUUAACAGCUAUGCAGGAUGUCUGUGAAGACAUCCAGGAGAACCUCCCCUAGGUGCCUGCAGAGAUAGAGAGGUUUACUACAGGCAAGGACAGGUUUAGGGACCCCAGGAAUUCCUGAGGCCUUGAUUGGAUCUCAGCUCUUAAGAACAGCAGUGUUUUUCAAACCUCAUUGACAGUGACACAGUCAAAAAUAAAGUUUGCUUCAAGAUAUGGUACAUAUGUAGUGAAAUACAAGUUUUCAUAAAAUAUAUACACUGUAAAAUAAAAGAUUGUCCCACACGCUGGCUGGGACAAGGAUGUUUUGGGAAUAUAAGCCACAAAACUCUUCUUGGAAAUCAAUUGUAUGCCUGAUUAAAUGCUUAAGCCACUUUCUGAUGAAUUUUAAUGAGAUUAUGACCUCUUGUUAGAAACCAGUUACCUAUGUACACAGCUAAUAUCAACCCUGGAGGGAAGGAAUCCAAGGGCCUUUAACUGUCUUUUAAUAAAUCUAAUAAUCCUUAACUAGAACUUUUCUUUCUUUUUCUUGUAUCCAGUCUAACAAUGAUUAUCUAGUCAUUCUCUUUUCCUGUAAAGUGUCCUUACCUAUAGACACUUGUUGAAUUGACUUAGCAAAAGCCUCAUUUCUUGCCGCAACAUUGUAAUAAAAACUUUGACACUGGGUCAUAACUAAAUUGUCCAAACCUGGCCAGGCGCGGUGGCUCAUGCCUGUAAUCCUAGCACUUUGGGAGGCCGAGGAGGGCGGAUCACCUGAGGUCGGGAGUUCA
rnacentral:lncRNA from 1 species